rnacentral:rRNA from 1 species
GCAGUCGAGCGGACAGAUGGGAGCUUGCUCCCUGAUGUUAGCGGCGGACGGGUGAGUAACACGUGGGUAACCUGCCUGUAAGACUGGGAUAACUCCGGGAAACCGGGGCUAAUACCGGAUGCUUGUUUGAACCGCAUGGUUCAAACAUAAAAGGUGGCUUCGGCUACCACUUACAGAUGGACCCGCGGCGCAUUAGCUAGUUGGUGAGGUAACGGCUCACCAAGGCAACGAUGCGUAGCCGACCUGAGAGGGUGAUCGGCCACACUGGGACUGAGACACGGCCCAGACUCCUACGGGAGGCAGCAGUAGGGAAUCUUCCGCAAUGGACGAAAGUCUGACGGAGCAACGCCGCGUGAGUGAUGAAGGUUUUCGGAUCGUAAAGCUCUGUUGUUAGGGAAGAACAAGUACCGUUCGAAUAGGGCGGUACCUUGACGGUGCCUAACCAGAAAGCCACGGCUAACUACGUGCCAGCAGCCGCGGUAAUACGUAUGUGGCAAGCGUUGUCCGGAAUUAUUGGGCGU